AUUGAACGCUGGCGGCAUGCCUAACACAUGCAAGUCGAACGAAGCCUUCGGGCUUAGUGGCGCACGGGUGCGUAACGCGUGGGAAUCUGCCCUUUGGUUCGGAAUAACAGUUGGAAACGACUGCUAAUACCGGAUGAUGACGAAAGUCCAAAGAUUUAUCGCCAGAGGAUGAGCCCGCGUAGGAUUAGCUAGUUGGUGUGGUAAAGGCGCACCAAGGCGACGAUCCUUAGCUGGUCUGAGAGGAUGAUCAGCCACACUGGGACUGAGACACGGCCCAGACUCCUACGGGAGGCAGCAGUGGGGAAUAUUGGACAAUGGGCGAAAGCCUGAUCCAGCAAUGCCGCGUGAGUGAUGAAGGCCCUAGGGUUGUAAAGCUCUUUUACCCGGGAUGAUAAUGACAGUACCGGGAGAAUAAGCACCGGCUAACUUCGUGCCAGCCGCCGCGGUAAAAC
rnacentral:rRNA from 1 species